UACGUAGGGGGCAAGCGUUGUCCGGAUUUAUUGGGCGUAAAGCGCGUGUAGGCGGUCCGGUAAGUCCGCUGUGAAAGUCGGGGGCUCAACCCUCGGAUGCCGGUGGAUACUGUCGGGCUUGAGUACGGAAGAGGCGAGUGGAAUUCCUGGUGUAGCGGUGAAAUGCGCAGAUAUCAGGAGGAACACCAGUUGCGAAGGCAGCUCGCUGGGACGUUACUGACGCUGAGACGCGAAAGCGUGGGGAGCAAACAGG
rnacentral:rRNA from 1 species